rnacentral:rRNA from 1 species
AACGAACGCUGGCGGCAUGCCUAACACAUGCAAGUCGAACGAGACCUUCGGGUCUAGUGGCGCACGGGUGCGUAACGCGUGGGAACCUGCCCUUAGGUUCGGAAUAACUCCCCGACAGGGGUGCUAAUACCGGAUAAUGUCUUCGGACCAAAGAUUUAUCGCCUUUGGCUGUGCCCGCGUUGGAUUAGCUAGUUGGUAGGGUAAAAGCCUACCAAGGCGGCGAUCCAUAGCUGGUCUGAGGGGGUGAUCAGCCACGCUGGGACUGAGACACGGCCCAGACUCCGGCGGGAGGCAGCGGUCGGGACUCUUCCGGAAAGGGCGAAGGGGUGAUGGUGCAAAGGGGCGUAAGGGAUGAACGUCCUCGGACCGUGGAACUAUGUUAUUAGGGGGGAACAAAUGUUUUAGUAACUAUGCACAUCAUGACGGUACCGAAACAGAAAGCCACGGCUAACUCCGUG